AUCUUCUAAAAAGGAUACCAAAGUAAUAUCGGCUCUGUAUUUUUCUAUCCCACUGAUGGGCUUCUUCCAUUUUUGAGACAGUUUAGGCCUUUGCCCACCGUGCAGGCCUAAUGCAGGUCACAGACCUGGUGCAUAUCAUUCAAAUAAAUCAAAAAACAAAUUGACAUUUAUGAAACAAGGAUAUCGAUAAAAAGUAUGAAUUUAAACAUAAAAAUGAAUUUUAUGCGCGCCAAUAAAUGUCCAUGUGAUAUCGGAAUUCGCGCCACAGUUUUAAUGUCGUAAAAAUAAAUGAGUUGCCGCCAUUUUUACGUCGUAUUGCGAUGUUGGUAACAUUACUUCGACAACUUUUUUAUGUUCUUGUGUUCUUAUAGUGCAAAACAUACGACUUAAAUAAUAACAUCCUUCGUAAUAAUUAGAAAAAAAACAGUGACAUAAAAAUGCGGAUGAUUGAGGAAAGCGAUGUGCUUAACCCGACAGGAGGAAAAGAAGACUGUUGUCAAUAAAGAUCCAAAAUAUUAUAAUGUAUUGCUGAGUUGAACGUCUAACAAGUUGAUAUUCCGGAUUUGCGUCAAGUAUGAAGUUAAAGAUUGACUUCUACACUUUUGAAAGAUAAUACAGACUCGCUGCCUACCUUUACAAAACACAGGCGUGAGUUUACGUCAAACAUGUUUGAAGAAGCGUAACAUAAAACAAUUGGCUCAAGCUGUGAACCAUGAGGCCGAGCUUCGGUCCCAGGGCCAUUCAGCUAUUUGGAUUCGACAUUGACUGAGUUGGUAUUGUUAGUCAGCGCCUAAUUUGUACUUUUCGUUCAAUUUGGUACAUAAACUAUGAACCCCCAAAAGCUUUGCGUUCACAAUAUGGUUAAGCACUGUAAUGAACUAUAUGCAUAGAAAAAAACAAGUGGCUGACCCCGAAUAGUUAGAUAUCAGGUGGUUCUGUUUAUUUGUUUAAAAAAGCCGGUACAAUUUAACGACUAUAAAGUGCAAUUUACUUCGUUGGUUUUAAAUUUGAACUUAACUGUCCUUACCAUACGAUUCAGACUAUAGUGUAAUAAAGUACAAGGAUAAAAAAUAAAUUAAGUUUAAUAUACUCAUAUCAUGCAAAAUUUUAUUGGCCAAAUUAUGUUCAGCGUAACGUUAAUGGCACAGCAUUUCACCCCUUUACAGCUGCGUUGUGAUGAUCUUCCAAUAGAAUUUAAAUUAAUCAAAUAAGUUUAUUAUUUUUGUUUUAUUGUUUAUCUCACGUGUUAUUUUUAUGUCAUAAGUUUACAGUGGUUUUGUUCCUGCUAUGUAAGUUUUAUUAUUAAAGUAACGAUUGUGUUUGCCUACGACGCAAGCAUAGUAUGAGAUCACGCAACUGAAGAGUUUAAUUUGUAAUUUCUGAAUAAAUGGACUAAAUAAAUACAGUAACUCAACUAAACUUUCACAGUACAUUAACCAACUAGAUUAGAAUCCCUAGUUUUCAGUCCAAUUUUUAAAAUGUAUUAAGGCGGAUUCUUGGAUCUGAUAACCACCGCAGAGCUGUGAAUUAAUUUUUUUAUUGUUCUGGUAUUGCAAAGAUGCUUACUUAUGACAAAGAUCUUCAUAAACACCCACAUACCAGAAAAAUCAACCAAAAUACCACAAUCGGUCAAUAUUAAAAAAAACAGCACUGGACAGAUGGAUUGAUCGAAUACCUUUUAAAGAAGGUAGACAUUUGUCCUGCAAUGUGUCAUAACAGAAUCAUAAAAAGCGAUAAAAUCAGAACAGUGUGACCGAGUCUUAAGCAAUGAAUGCAAAAAGUAAGGCCAACGUAAUGUGUUAGAGAUGAAUUUUAUUAAUUUUAAUUACAUUGAUGUUGUAUUAAAAGAUGUGUCGCGUUUUUAUUAUUGUAAUAAAAAUGCUAUGGGCCCUACAUCAUGCCCCACUGCUGGGCGUGGGGCUAUUCAUCUGAUGAAAGGCGUAAAGGACUGGUCGCCUAAAGGCAAGGGGCUAAAUAGCGAGCGAGUCUUUUGACGAGGUCGCCACCUGUCAAAAGACUGUUCUACUGAGGAAUUAUUUAUCAUCAUCAGCCAUAAGAAGUCCACUACUCAACAACCUCCCCUAAAGAUUUCCAGACUGAUCUGUUAAAAGUGGCCUACAUCCAGCGAGUUCCUGCGACCUUCUCAGGAUUCAUUCCCAGCUGAUAAUGUUGGAAAAGUGUCAACAUUUUUCAAUGCAAAAACUGCUAUUGCUAGUUCCUAAAGUGGGAAAGCGGAUAGAGAUGAGGAUGAUCUCAUAACGAUUAUAUCGAUUUAUAAUGUUUUCUGCAGAUAAUCGAUUUAACGGCGGGCUUUUUUACAUUCAUUACAAUUUAUUGUCUACUUAGACGAUGGAAG
rnacentral:lncRNA from 1 species